UACGUAGGUGGCAAGCGUUGUCCGGAUUUACUGGGCGUAAAGAGCGCGCAGGCGGUCGUUCAAGUCGCGUGUGAAAGCCCCGGCUCAACUGGGGAGGGUCACGCGAUACUGAUCGACUCGAAGGCAGGAGAGGGAAGUGGAAUUCCCGGUGUAGUGGUGAAAUGCGUAGAUAUCGGAGGAACACCAGUGGCGAAGGCGACUUCCUGGCCUGUUCUGACGCUGAGGCGCGAAAGCUAGGGAGCAACGGG
rnacentral:rRNA from 1 species